GCUACGGCAGCAGAGGCGUAGUGCGGACAGAGACCAGGAGCAGAGCUGAGCGGAGAACAGCUUCGGGCUCCGACAUGGGGACCCUGGCCAGGGUGGGACUGUAGGCUUCGUCGGGACGUGGGCUGGCCCGCGGGGACGUGACGUGGUUAAGCGAAAUGACGUGUCCUGGCGGGAGGGGCUUGGCUAGGCUCAGGGGGGCGUAGCCAAGAUGGCCGCGCGCAUGAGCUUCUCGUCCUGGUAGCAAACGGAUGCCGCUCUGGGAGACGUUCAGGUUAUUAGGUUCCUGCAAGUUGCUUGGGAGCUGACCAAAAUUUCAAGCUAAAGAUGGUGAUGAUGAGUCGCCUGGGCGUCAUUCUUCAAGCCUCUCCAUGCAGGGCACUGUGGAGAAGGUUCCAGAUGCCAAGGCCCACGCCUGCGAGGCCCUGCAGCCUCUACACCUUCACUUACAAAACCCGGAACCGAGCCUGAAGUCUGCUGAGAGUUAUUCAUCAGGGACCUGCCACAAAGAUGUGGUGCUUGGCUCUUUGGUAGAAAAGUCAUCGUCAGUGACGUCAUCAGCACCCGUGUGGGACAGAGUGUGCGUGUACACCUUAAUAUACAAUGUCAUAGCUAUUCAGGUGAUGGACAGAACUCCAGGGACCUUAGCAGUGCUAACAUUCUACCCAGGCUUUGCAGGAUGGCUGCCUAAUCCUCACAGCUGGCUCACGUAAGAGAUGAACUCAGCAUACACGCUUACCUGGGACCAUAUCAUCCUCCCAAUGGGAUUCCAGCUAGUGGGCCUCUUGAUGACAGCCCUAUGUGCUUUCUCCUAGUGCACCCUCUCUGGAAGAGCGUGGACCUGGUCCCGGGUCCCAUCAGUCACCCAUCAACAUCUGGUGGAGGGACAGUGUCUAUGAUCCUGGCUUAAAACCACUUACCAUCUCUUAUGACCUGACCCCUGUGUCACAUCUGGAGUUAAAGGGACAGUUUCAUUCCCGGGUCCCAUCAGUCGCCCAUCAACAUCUGGUGGAGGGACAGUGUCUAUGAUCCUGGCUUAAAACCACUUACCAUCUCUUAUGACCUGACCCCUGUGUCACAUCUGGAGUUAAAGGGACAUUUUCAUGUCAGCACAGGCCACAUCACACUGCCUCCAUGGGACCAGGAACCUCUUUUGCUAGCUGUGGCCUGGGACUCAUUGAAGUUACUUCUUUUAUUCAUUGCUAAAUACACAUAACAUGAAAUUUACCAUCUUAGCCUUUUUUAAGUGUACAGUUCAGUAGUAUUAACUGCAUUCACACUGUUGUGCAACCAUCCUCAUAACUCUGUACCCAUUAAAUAAUAACUCCUUAAUUCUCUCUUCCCUCCAGCCCCUAGCAAUGAACAUUUUACUUCUGUUUCUAUGAAUUUGACUGCUGGAUGCCUCACUUAAGUGGAAUCAUACAGUAUUUGUUUUUUUAUGACUGGAUGAUUUCAUUGAGCAUAAUGUUUCAGGGUUCAUCCAUAUUGUAAUGUGUCAGAAUUUCCUUCCUUUUUAAGGCAGAAUAAUAUUCCAUUGUACGUACAGUUAAUCCUUGGACAACACAGAGGUCAGGGGCGCCAACCCUCCACGAAGUUGAGAAUCCAAGUAUACCUUAUAGCCAGCCCUCCAUAUCUACAGUUCCUCCAUAUCCGUGGAUUCAUCCAACCGCAGAUCAUGUAGUACUGGAUUAUUUACUCUAGAAAAAAAAUCUAUGUAUAAGUGGACCUGCGCAGUUCAAACCUGCGUUAUUCAAGGGUCAGCUGUAUAUACCAUGUUUUGUUUAAUCCCUUCAUCUGUUCGUGGACACUCAAGUUGCAGCUGCAUUUUAGCUAUUGUGAAUAAUGCUGUUAUGAACAUGGGUAUACAAAUAUCUUUUCAAGAUGCUGUUUUCAAUUCUUUUAGGUAUAUACCCCAAAGUGGGAUUGCUGGAUCCUGCUUGGACUUUUUUGAGUGUAUGAAAAAUGUCUCUUUUCAUUUUCAUGCACAUUUCCAUCUACUAGUAUAAGUAGUAUUUUCUGUUAAUACAUAUAUCUCUGUGCAUAGAUUCUAUAACUGAUGUAGAAGAUAGGACAUGAAGUUAAAACUUCGCUAGAAAUUUAUUUCCUGUGUGUGUUGAAUAUGUGGUAAUGUUCCUCUGCUUGCUGAGUUUACAAAUAACUUUUAUAUUAAAUAGCAAUACUAUUUAGUCAGAUUUUAAAUGAUAAAAUUGCAAUACAGUUGAGCCUUGAACAACACAGGUUUGAAUUGUUUAGGUCUAUUUAUACACACUCCAGUACUACACCAUCCGUUGUUGGUUGAAUCUACAGAUGCGGAACCGAGGAUAAGGAGAGCCAACUGUAAAGUUAAAUAUGCUGAUUUUUCAACCGCGAGGUGGUCGGUGCCCCUAACCCCUGCAUUGCUUAAGGGUCAACUGUACAGAGCAAAAGGCUAGUCAGGCAAGAAAAAGUCAUCUUAUAUUUUUGGUUACCCAGUUACAUGUAUGUAUUUUGUCAUUCAUUGAUUUAUUUAUUCAUUCAGCAUUUACUAAGUGCCAACCAUGUGCCACACAGUGCUAGAAAUAACCACUCAGUUCUUGACCUCCCAGAGUUAAAAGUCUAGUGAGAGAAGCACACAUUAAAUUAGAAUUAUAAAGCAAGUGUCAUUUGAAAAAAGGGUUUCUAAAAGUGCUGUAGGACCACAGAGGAGGGUGCAAUGUAGACUGCUCAGAGGAGUCUAUGAUGAUUUCAGUAAGGAGGGGACAUGUAUGUUGGGUAUUGAAGGAUGAAUAGGAGUUUGUCAAGAGGAUUAGAAGGGCAUUCCAGACUGAAGGAAAAUCAUGUGCAGAAGCAGAUGUUCAGAAAGUGGCCAAAACCCAAGGUGGCUAGAAUGAGAAUGUGUGUUGUGGGAAGAAGCAGGAAGAAUAGUGAUCAUUGAAGAUUAAGAGGGUAAAUGAAAGGUAGGCUUAUGAGACACUGGUUAUUUUUAAACAGGAGAGUGACAUAGCAUGAUAUCAUCUAAAUAAUUGGUCAAUUGGCCUUAUUUUUUGACAUUAACCCAAGCAACAGUGCAGGACAGAUUAAUCCACAUGGGAGAUGGUGGGAGCCUAAAUGAAGGCCGUGGCAGCCGGAAGAGAGAAAGCAAGUUUUAACAAACAUUUUUAAAAUAAAAGCAACAGGACCUGGAGAGGAGAAGGCUUCAAAUGAGAAGGCAAAGUUAACCAUGACCUUGAGGUGUCCCACUUGGGAGGCUCUGGGGAUGGCAAUGCCAGAAAGUUCAUGAAUGAUGGACAAGAAAUCAUUUGUAAGGAAGUAUAGGGAGCAAAUAAGGAAAUAAAAUUUCUUCUUACAACUUUUCCCCUAAUUUAAUUUUAAAUGUUACAUUAAAAAUAGAAAGAAACAUAAGUGGUUAUCCCUCAAAAAAGAAAUGUCAACUCCUAUCUAAUUCCCAUAGGGAGAAUCUAUUUCUCUCCAGAUAAGUAUUUUCUCUCCUUUUGAUACAAACAGAUUUUGGAUUUUAGUAUUUCCUGCAAAUCAAGAUGAGAAUGAACAAAUGUUGAUCCCUCCCUGAGAUGUUACUCACUUUAGUAUAUAAUUUUUAAAAUUUUCCUCCCCGAUAAAUCCCUUUAUUCCAAAGUAAUAUUAAUUGCUGCUUCUGCAUAAGUUUCUUCCUAUUCUUUAUUUCUAUCUCAUUUUGCAUCAGAUUAUCAUGUCUUUCCCAGUGGCUUUAUUUUAGGUAAGGAAACGUUUAAAUAGUGUAGGCUGAAUAAGGCUGUUGAUUUAUUUUAGAGCAAUCCUAUAUGGUCAGGCACUAAUUCUUUUCAUGGUGUUUCAGCUGCACUUGGUGCAUCAGAAUGCAUUCCAAUUUGAAAGCUCUGAGGAUGCAGCAACUGGAGGAAGAUGGUUUGGCUAUGGUAGGAAUACUUUUUAAAAUAUUUUUAAAAAUCUUACCAAGUUUAAAUGAUGUGUUGUAUUCUAGAAUGAAAAGACAGAACAUUAGAAUAUUGUAAUUUACUUUAAGAAUAUGGGGAUCAAUACAUUGGUAAGAUAAACAAUGCUUAAAAUACAAGAUUGUUAAGAAUAUACUUCAAAUGGUAUAAAACUGGGCUGUCCAGUAUGGUAGCCAGAAGUCAUGUAUGGCUAUUGAGCACUUGAAAUGCGGCUACUGUGAGGAAAUGAAUUUUAAAUUUUAUUUUAUUUCAACUGAUUGUCAUUUAAAUUUAGGGACUGACAUUUCAGUUAUUGGAAAACUUUAAAAUGUUUGGAAUAGCUAGGGUAUGCUGCCUACAUUUUCAAGUGUAAAGCAUACAAAUCAAGUAUUUCUGGUGAAAAUUUAGCAUCCAAAUUGAUAUGUGCUGUAUGUAUUAAAUAUACAACAGAUUUUCAAGACUUAGUAACUUUUCAUAUUGAUUGCAUGUGGAAAUGACAAUAUUUUGAAUAUAUUUGGUAAAAUAAAAUGUUAUCAAAAGUAAGUUCACCUGUGUUUUUUUGUUUUGUUUUGUUUUGUUUUGUUUUAACUUCUUCAAUGGGGCUCCUAGAAACUUUAAAAUUACCUCGGUGGUGUACACUACAUUUCUAUUUUAAGGCACUGGUAUAAAAGGAUAAAAGCAACUAACACUAAAUAAAUACCAGUUAAAAUGGGAGAUUUGUUAAGAAUAUAUUUUAAAUGGAGUAAAAAGAUAAAGGCAAACAACUAUGAGAAAUUCAUGAGUGUGAUGUGACUAUACAUUUGCUGAGUGCUUCGUUUAUCUCCCUUAGAAGUCUCUAUGGUGACUCCUCAUCUCCAUGUUUUAGAUGAAGAAAGUAAAGCUCAGUGAGGUUAAGUGCUUUCCUGCCAGGUCACUCAGCUAGCAACUGGAGAACUGGAUUGGAGAUCUGUGGACCAUACUCUGCACAGGACCUCUGAGCUUGUGCAGGUUCCAUAGAUGCAGGCCUUUUGCAAGCUCCUUGCCUUUGUCCACUCCAGAUACUGAGUGUUUUAAGGGUACCCAGGUUUUAAUCAGGUAUGGUAAGACACAUAGACAUGUAAAUGGCUAUCACGAAGGAAGAAUUUUAUUAUACUCACAAAUACCUAAAAAGAGGAUACAUGGCACACCAUGCAGGGCCACCUGAGGAAGUACCAGGGGUGGUCAGGAGGCAGAGAGAGCAGGGGAAGACAUGGACAGAACCUUCAUUGUGCUUUCCAUGGGAAGAAAUGGGUGAGACAACAUAAGCAGGCUUAGGAUUGGCCACUUUGGAUAAUUUCAGUAGGCUCGGGCAUAGAGGCUUUCCCUAGUUGUCUGGUAUGUGGCCCCAGGGUGAUUAGGGCAGAGGAAUAGUGGCUCAGAAUGUAAGAGCCUCAAAAAGGAAGUAGUUGGGGUCUGAGUUUUGGAUUAGUUGGUUUGCAUAUGAAAGGCAUGCUCCCUAUUGUUUGUUCUCUCUAGCAAUUGACUAACCUUGGGAGAGGCAAUCCCUCUAGCAUCAGCAAGGCCUUAGGUACCAAAGUAUCAAAUAUAGAAACUGGAAAACAGGACUCAGGGGCCUGAUCUGAAAGUUGGGCCUUACUACGCUCUGGCUUGCCCUGAGAGCUUCAGCCUCCAGAGCCCCUGUGUGCCAAGCACCAGUGAGACCCAGAGUGGGAAGCUGAUGAAGUAAGGGACACCUUUUCCUGCAGACUGUCGGUUCCAGCCUAUCAGCAAAGAGCCUGCUAAUUUGUUUUGUAUCUACUUUCAUUCAGUGAUGUUUAUAACAUUCUAAAUUGUCAAUUUAAGUGCAGUUUCAGUACUGUGGAUUGUUUUUAGGUAAUCACCAGGUGUCUGAUUUUAAUUCACAUUCUAUUACAAUUCUAGAGUGAGAUGUCAAUUGUUUUUAAUAUUUUCUCAUUUAUUCUUUAGCUAGGCAAACAUCAUAAAGAACUACAGAAAUUGGUGGAUACUGUGGCAUCAAUUACACAUAGGGUAAUUUUGCCCCCUAAAUCACUUGAAAUAUAUUUUAUGUUUCAAUCUCAGAGUGGAGAUGCUAACACAGCACUUUGAGUUGGGAAAUGUAAUUCACCUAAAUGUAAUUCAGGUUCUUUUUGAAAGCUGCCCUUUAAGACAACUUGCCACUUAUGAUGCCUGUGUUGAGAGAGCCCCUGUCCCCUGCAGAGGACAGAAGUGAUCCUGUUGGAGAGCACAGACAGCUCUGGUUUGGCUGCCAUACCACUGAGCACUCAGGGACUCAGGAACAUAAUAACUCCCCUCCUCUGCUCCCAACCCCUGCUCCUUCUCAGUCCUUGUGCAAACACUCAGGGCAGCCUUCUGGAUUCUAGCUACCCUCUGAUAUGCAGGGAGCAGAGAAAAGUUUGAUAGAAACUUGGCUUCUCCAGCUUUACAAAACAAUUAACCACAUCCUUCAGGGUGGAUACCUUUGUCCAGCUCCUAAGAGUAAUCUGCAUUGCACUUUAGAAUGCAAAUUCUCAUUUAGAAAUGAGAAUUCUGUUAGUGUCUCUUGAAAAAAAGAGGCCUCUUGUUUAUGCACCAGCUACCACCUAAUGCCUCCCACUGAGGAGUAUCAGAAAUACACGGUUGUCAAUUAUAUCUCAAUUUUUAAAGUCAAUUAUAUUUAAAUUUUAAAAAGAGGGAUAUGUAGUUAAUUACAGGAGCAAAGCAUGGGCAUGAUGCUGUCCUAAGGUGUCCAGAGGUACCUGGAGCUCCUCUGCACCACUGCUGGUUCCUUAGGCUCCCCUGGUAUCAUCACCUCAUCAUCCAAUUCCUCAGUGGUUUUCACCACUAAAUGAUAGCUUGAUGGCCCCUUCUCUUGGCCAGGAUGCCCUUGUGGAUUAUUUGAUUCUUCCUGCCUGAUUGCCCACCUGCCUGGAUUACUGGACCUAUUCAGGGUCCAUGACUACCCUGCCACUCCCGGAGUCUGUCACCUGGAUGAUUAAGAAGCAGCUCAUAGAGGUAGAUCAUGACCAGGUAUGUUCUUCCCACAUUUCUAUAUUAAGAAAUUCUAGUCUGCCCUUUUAAAACAAUGCAGGACUCAAACUUUGGCAUCGGUUUUUAACAUCUUGUAAUGCUUAUACAUUUUUAUUAAAAUGUGCUAACAUCUUGUCUCAGUUUGGACAUGUAUAUGGAGAUACUUCAAAUUAACCAGAGAGAGGAGUUAAAACAGAAAAACAUAAGCUUUUUACUUUAAAUUCUUGACAGUAAUAUAUAUUUUACUGUAUAUGCAUUGUGUAGAAUCAGUAUAAAAAUUAAGACUCUUUUAAAUGGAAAAAAUGAAAGCUGGAAAUGGAUGUGUUCAAAACCCUUUGAUUUCCUUAAGGGAAUUUUACUGUAGAAUCUCAGGCUAAAGACAGAACACAACAAUAUCUAUACAGAAAUUGUAUUUUAAAUCAGAAGUUUUUAUUUGGUAUUUGUCUUUGCUUUACAAACUAAGAUUAACUGGUGGUUAAUACAUCAACACAGAAAAUCCUGUUUAAUUCAUAAACUAAA